rnacentral:rRNA from 1 species
UACGAAGGGGGCGAGCGUUGUUCGGAUUUACUGGGCGUAAAGGGCGCGCAGGCGGCCAUUCAAGUCAGGCGUGAAAGCCCCCGGCUCAACUGGGGAGGGUCAUUCGAUACUGAUCGACUCGAAGGCAGGAGAGGGUAGUGGAAUUCCCGGUGUAGUGGUGAAAUGCGUAGAUAUCGGGAGGAACACCGGUGGCGAAGGCGGUUCUCUGGGCAUGUCCUGACGCUGAGGAGCGAAAGUGUGGGGAGCGAACAGG